CAUGACCCUGAAAAGGAGUAAGCGGUAGAAGAUGGAUGGAUGGAUGGAUGGAUGAACAGUAGAAGCCCAUAGUGGCUUGAGAAUCUGCAUUGAUGACAGCUAAAACACUUUACAAAUAUUACAUAUCUCUAUAUGUAACUAUUGGUCAAGUUUCUACUUGUAAUAAACACGUAGGCUAACAUAACCGUGGAUAUAAUACUUAGCUAGCUAUGAUGGUGGAAAUCAAUUAAGAUUAAUAAAGGCGUUCAAAAUAGAUUAAACCUGGAUCAUUUCAGGUACGUGCACACAGCUUUAUUCAUAUCAAAGUUUCUACUAUCACAACGUUUGAAGUAACUGUUUCUGUUAAGAUUUUCGACUCUUAAUUAAGCUGAGUCGUCCAAUCAGCGGUAAGUAAUCCAUUUGCAAAAUAUACCUAUAAAAUUUUCCGUUUUGUCCAACUUGUCAUAGUGUUUUCUGGCUUGUUAAUUUGUUUUCUAUCUAAGUAUUUUGCGGACAAUAUUCAAAAGCGACUGCAAACUGUAUUUGAAAUUGCAUUUCCUACUUGUGGAUGCAGAAAUUGUGGAAUAAUUCAAAUGAAAAUGCAAAACAUGUAGUACCGUUUUCAUUUACAUGAUCGUACAGUCUGCCAAAUUUCAAAAGGAAAUGCAACGUUUAUUUGCAAUUGCAUUUCCCAUGUGUUACGCUUUAUGACCCUGUCAUAUUGAAACAGCAAAAGCAAUUACCCUGUUUGCUAUUUCACUUCCUCAGUGGUGCGUAUGGAGCCUGACAAUAUUCAAAAGGAGUCUCAAAUCCCUUUGUAUUUGCAUUUCCCAUGCCUUGCACAGAAACCUGACAAUCAGUGUUGGGGGCAGGAGUAUACUAGGCGGUGUGUUUGUAUUUGGAAAUGACGUCACUCACAGUUGACCGCAUUUUAGACUGCUUCACGAUCACCGGACAUUCACAGUACGUUUGAGAUUCUCUCUUCUAUUUCUCAAACAGUAAACACACAGAGAGGACAAAAUGUGUACUGUCUUACUCUGGCGUGGAACGAGAACCAAGUACAAUCCAUCCAUCCAUCUUCUAUACCGCUUAUCCUUUCUUCAGGGUCACGGGGAAACCCGGAGGCUAUCCCAGGGAGCAUCGGGCACAAGGCGGGGUACACCCUGGACAUUCAUACACUGUGGACACUUAAGGACAUGCCAAUCAGCCUACCAUGCAUGUCUUUGGACUGGGGGAGGAAACCGGAGUACCCGGAGGAAAUCCCCGCAGUACGGGGAGAACAUGCAAACGCCGCACACACAGGGCCACGGUAGGAAUCGAACCCCCGACCCUGGAGGUGUGAGGCGAACGUGCUAACCACUAUGCCACCGUGCGCCAAGUACAAUUUAAUAUAUUAUAAUAAAUUAAUAAAGUCAGUAAUGGACUAAAAACUGCAUGAGCUGGGCAACUGUGUAAAAUUCUACCAAGAUUAUAGUCAUCUACAUCACAGGAUAUCGAACGUACUGCAGUAUUAUGAUACAGUAUGGAUACAGUAUUUAUUUACAUUUUAUAGCAUAUAUUUAAUUUAAAAAUGAUUAAUUAUAUGACAUUAUUUUAAAGUGAUUACACGCGUAAACAAUUAUUGUAUAAGCAUUAUUGUUCCACAUAAAACCCAGGGUUAGUCUUAGCAACUAAAACGAAAAACAACAAAACAACAAAACAAAAAAAGCAAGUGGUUUUUAUUGCUACAUUUUUUCUGCAAAAAAAAAAAAAUUUUAAAUUAACACACGGGAAAUGCAACUGCAAAUAAACUUUCCACUUCAACUUUGGCAGACACUGUUAAUUCGUGUAAAUAAAAAUGAAAACGGUAACACACUAUUUUCAUUAGAAUUAUGUCACUUCCAUAGUUUUCGGAUAUGUCGUUGUGUUUAUAAUUUGUUGUUUUGUUUUCAGAUUUGUGAGUCGUUUCGCACUUCUCGGCCACCGUACUUUUGACAAGUCGCGCGCAGCAACAUGUAACGUCAGAGCCGAAAAGUUUUACCGGCCAAUCAGGUAGCGCUUUCCUCAUGAAUAUUAAUAAGCUUUCCUCUGAAGAGUCGUUUUGGAAACCGGAAGUUGCAGCAACUCCCCGUUAACGCAAUAUAUAUAUAUAUAUAUAUUUUUUUUAAAUUUAAUUACCAUUUCAUUUCUCAUUUAACUAACCUAUUUUAUGAAUAGAUUAUUGCAGUAUGUUUUAAGUGCACCUAAAACAUUUUAGGUACAAAGAAAAUAUCUAAAACAUGUCUCGAAUCUGCAUGACUACUACGUCAUUGUCACGUGACGCGGUUUGAAUUCAGGCCGGGUGUAAACGCGUUUGAAUCCUGGGCAGUUGGUAACGUUUCUGUUUUGGACGGGAUUACAGUCAUAGCUAUAGUUAUUGAACGUGUUUUACUUGCAUUACAGAUGAUUUUAUUUAUUUAGCUAAGACACCUGGGUUCGUUCAAUUAAUAGUACAGGAUAGAGUUUUUGACGCAUUAAAUUAAAAAAAAAAACCCGGAACAUGGAAAAGUGGGAGUCUACAACACAACAAACCAGCACUUGCCCGUUCAACCCUGUGGACGGCGGGAUCCCAUCAUCAUGGAGUGCGACCAAGGAAGAGUGUAUUAGCCAGAAUAAAGAGCAGCCUGGUGCAGUACAGAGCAUGUACUGUAAGGAGCUUGUGCUUGGAGGUGACACAGAGUUUUCCUUCGAAGAGCUGCGUGCCCAGCGAUAUUAUAAACGGCUCAAUGAAAAAGUCUUACAUUUGAACCAAGUCAAAGAAGAGCUGAGGUUUCAGAUUGAGCAGAAACAGAAGCUUAUUCAAGGGAGGAAUGGUGCCGUCCAACAUCGGCCUCUUGAUGUACCACAGCAUCCCCAGCAGACUGCUGAUGUCAGCAGUGCUCCUGUUGUUCCCUAUGAGGCUGCUCCAUUGAAAAUUUACAGCGAGCCAGAAAUAUCUAGAAACACCGCCACGAGAAACAUCAUCAUAAACCAUGAAGACAUGGGACCAGGUACAGCUGGUGUUAAACAGAGGCGUUCACAGCCAUCAAAAUGUUUUCCUAUGUAUGAUGAGAAUGUUUUGUCUGAGAAGCCAAAUACAAGAUCAUCCUCUGUGAACCUCAAAUCUUUGAAGCUGCCCACCUCCAUUUUGAAAUCCAGACAACCUGCAUCAGAGUGUCCCAGUGAUAAAGAUGCCUCCCUUUCACGAUCUGAGGAGGCCAUCAUCAACGCCCACUGGAAUAAGACACUCUGCCGAAGCCCGGAUGACACACGUGAUUUUGUUUGUGCUGCUCAGCUGGCCUCCACACCAUUCGGAGGACCAGGGAGACAAAACCCCUCAGAAAGAGUCCGGAUGGAAGAACGUGAAGCCCUCAACAAAACUGGUUCUGUUGUCUUCAAAGAGCCGAACUCUGAGACCAAAGUAGAGCCGAAUAAGCUGAGCCCGAUCGAGGAGAUCAGCCAUGAGUGGGGUUAUACCUCCUUAGCUUCCACCUGUCCUCUGGAGCUGGAAUCACAAGGAAGGCCCACAGUUCACUCAAGAGUUACAGAGGUCAUUCAGCCUACCUCAGGAAAAGCAUUGUCUGCUCCUGCCCUCGAGACCGUGAAUCCAUGCAGUCUGGAUGUCAGAAAAGCACUGCUUGAUAAUGUGGACCUGGGUUCUAUUGCUAAUUUCAGCAGGAAAGUUGGACCUCUACCUGACCCUGAUGACCUCCAUCUUGAUGGUGAAACACUGUUCUUCCUCAAAAAGAUGGACGAUCAGGGGAUGUGCUUAUAUUUUUCAAAUGGUGGUAGUGUUCUUGUUAAGGUGGAUGAAUCUACAGUACCGUGGGAUUUUUAUAUUGACUCUCAACUGAGGGCCAGGCUGCCUGCUGAUCUACAGCACUGUCAUGCUCAGAGCACCUGUUACCUCUAUGAAAAUGGAUCUUUCACCUUGUGGCAGGUUCCUCAAGGGCAAACUAUUCACGAGUUAUUAGAGGACCACGUGGAUAGACGGGAUGUUCCACAUUUGGUGAUCCGGUUGUUGGAGAUGGUGAAACGUAUGCACUCGUGUCGACUUGUUCAUGGGGCGUUGCGCCCUGAAACGCUAAUGGUGUGCCACAGCUGUGAAGACAGCGUUAUCUGCGUGGAUUUCUCAAAUUCGUUGGAUUUGGAGCUGCAGACUGACACGACGACGGCGCGGUAUCUUCCUUCGGCUCAGGACUACAUUAAACAGGGUUUAUUGUUGCCCUCUGCCUCUCCUUACCAGGUGGACCUCUGUGGGAUUGCAGAAAUCGCGCACUUGCUGCUGUUUGGAAAAAAGAUGAAAAUAAUUAAGGAGGCAUCUUACUGGAGAUUGGCAGAGGACUGUGGAUCUCUGGAUUGGCAAAGGACAGUUGAGCUCAGCAGCCUGCUUGGUCCGUUGUGGCAAGACUUUUUCCACAAUCUUUUGAAUCCAGAGGACAACUCAACAGAGUUUAUUUUGUCCAACUUAAUCAACAACUUAAAGAACACGCUCUAUGAAGACUUGGAGUGUCAGUUUUCUCUGUAAUGUAUGCUGUCAAGUCACUUUUCUGUGUUUUCGUAUAUAUGUUUCUCUCACCUGAUCUUCAAAAGUCAUCGUCUGUUCCUUUUCACACAAUUUCUUUCUUUCUUUUUUUUAUGUUAGUUCAGAUAAUUAAAUUCAUCCAUAACUUUACCUAAUUAUCUUAUUCUCUACUAGUGUUGUGUUUUUAAUCCUUCAUUAAACAGGCAAAAAUAUGACACUUACAAUGCUUGGGGUUUUUUGUUUGAUUGUUUGUUUUGCUAAUUUGUAAUUAUAAUAGAAGUUAAAUGAAUGUGUUGGGGCGGGGACGGACUACUUAUCACCAAUGAUUUAACCAAAGACAGCUUUUAUAAACGACCGCACUAUUCAGUGCUAUGCCACGAAAACCAAAUAGGUUUUUGUAUUAUUAAAGAGAUGUGUUUUAAUUUUGUGUGCAUUCAUCAAAGGUAACAUAUAGGCACACUUACACUAUGAGUACUCUCUGAGGCAGAAGGACUCCCAACCGACUCAGUUUGAAGUUUCUCCUUCUACCUUUUCUUUCUUAAUAGCCGAUCAGUUUGCAUUAGGCGUAGGGAGAACAUAACUCUGUCGGGUGGUAGGUCUCCACGACCAUAAAUAAUCUUUCCUCUAAGCCUUUCAUGUAAUGGGAGCCUUGAGGCAGUUGAGAAUACAGGUGUUGUAUUGCUUUGUUUGCUGGGAGGAGUGACUCCUCAUUUGCUAUUUAAAUGGUAGUACAAUGAAGCUGUUGGUAGGAUAUGGUCACUGGUUGAGCAAAUAGUCAUUCCUUCGUACUCCACCUCAAAGGUCUGGAAUGUCUUACUGAAGUCAAGGGCUUUGUGAAUAGGAAUGGUUCCUUAUGGAUUUAGACUCGGACGUAAGAACGCACCCAACUCAUCCCAACAUGUGCUGGCCUGUGUGCUGCAUGUUGACAGGAGCAGCUACCACAGUUCUGUGUGCGCGAGACAGACAGACUGUGAGGUGUGAGUGAGUCUUUUGUCGAGUUCUAUUGAAGCCUGUUUUCCACUUCUAGGCAGAAAGGUAAGUUAUUUAUUUUCUCUUAGGACAGGGUGGAUUUGAGAGGGGAAGGACGGUCGAAAACACCUUGAAUAAAAGGUAGUAAGGCGCAAAAGCUUCGAGUGGAAAGGUCAUGUGACUUAAUGGGAAGAACGAGAUGUGGGAAGGGUAGUGACUCAUCAGGCAAUCUUUUCUUUGUUCAGCUUUCAUUUCCUACUUUUUCAUUUAAAAUGCAGGCUAGACCUGAGGGGGGGAAAAAAAAAAAGGCUUGCAUUUUCUUUCAGAGAUUAGUGUAUUUUUAUUCGUUUUAGUGUGAUGUCCAAAAUGUUCUCACUUACCAGGAUGGGCUGCAGGAUGCAGAUAUUUCCAGCACUUUUGAAACGUGGUUAAGUGAGACAGGGACGAAGAAAGUUUGGACCUGAAUUGAUCCAGUGGAAUUUUCACAUUAGUGUCCUUGGGCUGUCUUAAUGAAAAAGUAACUCUGAAAAAACAAGGUAGUUCUUAGUUGUCUCAAUAAACAGAUUUCUUAUGCAGGACCUGAUUAGCUGAGUAGUAUGCAGUGUCUGUAUUAAGGCGCCUGCUUACCAGUAGAAUCUUUGACCAUCAGUAAGUUGGUCGUCAGAAAGUGAGCACAACUUUGCACCAUUUUGUGUCGUUAUUAUGAGCAAUAGCAGUUUAGACUGUCGAUGAGAACAUGAUGAAUGUGUUAGAUGAUUCAGCAUCUAUGAAGGAGUGCUUUAGGAAAGUUUAGUAUGCAUUGAUCAAGCUUAAGGUGUACGGUAUCUUAGCGUUAAGCAUGUUCGCCUCACACCUCCAGGGUUUGGGGUUCGUUUCUCGCCGCUGUCCUGUGUGUGUGCACAUGCUCUCACUGUGCUGCGGGGGGGUGUUUCCUCCAGGUACUCCAGUUUCCUCCCCCAGUCCAAAGACAUGCAUGGUGGGCAUGGUGAGUGGGCUGAUUUUGAUGUCCAAAAUGUCUGUAGUGUAUGAAUGCGUAUGUGAUAGUGCUCUGUGAUGGAUUGGCACCCUGUGUACCCCCGCCUCGUCCCCGAUGCACCCCACGGCUCUGACGGAUAAGCGGUAUAGAAAAUGGAUGGAUGUUCACGCUUAUAAUACCUUGGGUAUUUUUUUGGACUUGUUCUCCCUUCAGUCAGCUUCAGAAUUAUUGCUAUCCUUAAUAAAAGCUUGUCAUGAAUGAUAUAUCGAGUAUAUUUUGAACAUAUGUGCAGUGUUAUAGAGAACAGUAUGUUUUCUUGAACAGUGCAGUUUUUCCAUUUUAAAAUGAUUGGCACCCCUCGAUUACUAUUUGGUGAAGCCUCCUGUGGAGAAAAUAACAGCAAGUAAUAUUUUCCUGUAAUGUCUAAAAGCUUGGACACUCGAGUAGAAAUUUCUUCGACCGCUCCUUCAUGUAGAACUUUUGAAGUUGAUAUACUGUAUUGUGUGCAUACGGACUGCAUUCUACCUACCUUAGUGCAAAUGGGUGUGUAAAUAUGUGUACGUGGUACCCUACGAUGCACUGGCGACAUUACAGUGGAAAAGUGCGUUGGAAAUAAAGUGAAAAAGAAAGACAUACAGGCAUGCAGUUUUUGCUUACACCAUGCUCCUUUGCCUCAUAGAUGAUCGGGUUGCACCAAGAAAAGCAGAAUGGCUUGAUGAUGUGAGUGAGAGACUUCCAUCACUAAAUAUCACCUGUGGCCAACAGGAAUA